UACCAGACUCCUACGGGAGGCAGCAGUGAGGAAUAUUGGUCAAUGGGCGGGAGCCUGAACCAGCCAAGUCGCGUGAGGGAAGACGGUCCUAUGGAUUGUAAACCUCUUUUGUCGGGGAGCAAAGAGGCCACGUGUGGUCAAAAGCGAGAGUACCCGAAGAAAAAGCAUCGGCUAACUCCGUGCCAGCAGCCGCGGUAAUACGGAGGAUGCGAGCGUUAUCCGGAAUUAUUGGGUGUAAAGGGUGCGUAGACGGGAAAGCAAGUUAGUUGUGAAAUCCCUCGGCUUAACUGAGGAACUGCAACUAAAACUACUUUUCUUGAGUGCAGGAGAGGUAAGUGGAAUUCCUAGUGUAGCGGUGAAAUGCGUAGAUAUUAGGAGGAACACCAGUGGCGAAGGCGACUUACUGGACUGUAACUGACGUUGAGGCACGAAAGUGUGGGGAGCAAACAGGAUUAGAUACCCCUGUAUG
rnacentral:rRNA from 1 species